rnacentral:rRNA from 1 species
CCUACGGGCGGCUGCAGUGGGGAAUAUUGGACAAUGGGCGAAAGCCUGAUCCAGCCAUGCCGCGUGUGUGAAGAAGGCCUUCGGGUUGUAAAGCACUUUCAGUGGGGAAGAAAGCCUUGGGGCUAAUACCCUCGAGGAAGGACAUCACCCACAGAAGAAGCACCGGCUAACUCCGUGCCAGCAGCCGCGGUAAUACGGAGGGUGCGAGCGUUAAUCGGAAUUACUGGGCGUAAAGCGCGCGUAGGCGGUCUGAUAAGCCGGUUGUGAAAGCCCCGGGCUCAACCUGGGAACGGCAUCCGGAACUGUCAGGAUAGAGUGCAGGAGAGGAAGGUAGAAUUCCCGGUGUAGCGGUGAAAUGCGUAGAGAUCGGGAGGAAUACCAGUGGCGAAGGCGGCCUUCUGGACUGACACUGACGCUGAGGUGCGAAAGCGUGGGUAGCAAACAGGAUUAGAUACCCCAGUAGUC